UGGAUGUUAUGGGGGACAACAAAGGAUACUGGUUCCAGAGCCACAGAGCCUGCCUCACCUCACCUCAGCUUGGGGGAAAGAGUCACACUUACAGAAGGUCUGCCAAUUUGUAUCCAGACAACCUUUGAAAACAGAAUUUGCAAAUAAAAAAGACAGGCUUAGAGAGAUUGUACAAUAUACCUACAAAUGAAGAAGCUGAUUGUGAUGAGAUAGAACAAUUAUACAAAGCAUCCAGAUGUUUUCUGCUACAAGAAUUACAAUUUCAUCUCUUAAAAUGCCAGGAGAUUUAAAUGCAGCUUGAGCAGCCACACAUAGAUCUGUCCUUAUGCCGCUAUUUGCACAAGGAAAUACAGCCCUUACAGUUCUGUCUCAUACAACAAAUGUUCAGUUUCUAAAUGCAUAGUCUUCUACAUUUGGCAUACAACAUUACUCAGCUCCUAAGAUCUGACCCUGAAAAGCAAUGGAGUAAAGUGAAUGAGGAAAAUAUUGAUAUUGCUCAGAGCACUGUAAGAGAGGAAACCAACAACCCAGGCCCCGAGCAAGCAAUCAACAUGUAGGACUCAUUGUGCACCAUCGAGUUGAAAAAGUAAGUUGGGGAACAAACAGAAUUUGGAAAAAGAGCUGUAAUGACUGACACAGAACAUUACUUUAAUGAAAAGACUACAGCUCUGGAGGAAGUUGCAUGAAGACAUAUUCAUGCUGUAUUCUUUUGUCACUGCUCUUGGCCACAGAGCCAAGUUGAUAAUUAAUGGAGCAGCAAUAUUUGCCUAAUGGCAUAAACAC